rnacentral:rRNA from 1 species
GUUGUGGUUAAAAAGCUCGUAGUUGGAUCUCAACAGCCUUGAAGCGGUUAACUUUGUAGUUUUACUGCUUUAUAGGCUGUGCUUUUGCUGGAGGUUUAGGGGUGCUCUUGAUCGAGUGUCUCUGGAUGCCAGCAGGUUUACUUUGAAAAAAUUAGAGUGCUCAAAGCAGGCUAAAAUGCCUGAAUAUUCGUGCAUGGAAUAAUAGAAUAGGAUGUCGAUCCUAUUUUGUUGGUUUUCGGGACUCGACAUAAUGAUAAAUAGGGACAGUCGGGGGCAUUUGUAUUCAAACGACAGAGGUGAAAUUCUUGGACCGUUUGAAGACAAACUACUGCGAAAGCAUUUGCCAAGAUUGUUUUCAUUAAUCAAGAACGAAAGUUAGAGGUUCGAAGGCGAUUAGAUACCGCCCUAGUUCUAACCAUAAACGAUGCCAGCUAGCGAUCUGCCUGCGUUUUUACUGUAGACUGGGCAGGAAGCUUCCCGGGAAACCAAAGCAUUUGGGUUCCAGGGGAAGUAUGGUUG